rnacentral:lncRNA from 1 species
AGCAGCUGUAAUUGGCGACAUGUAUUGCCAUUGUCAUGUGGUACACGUCGUGUAGGAUAUAGUUUCUGUUAGCAAAUAAACUAACCAAUGACUCUUAUCUUCUUGCAGAAUUCAUUUAGACAAAUAAAGACCUUGACUCUCCAAAAACCAAACCAACAUAGAUAUUAUCUUCUACGCAGCCAUCUUCUUAACAAUUCUCCUCACCCUCUUCACCCUACUCCACCAAGGCAAGAACUCAUCACCUUGUCCUCCCUCUCUCCCUACACUUGCCUAUCUCCACCUCCUAAAGAAACCAUUC